rnacentral:rRNA from 1 species
GACGAACGCUGGAGACGUGCUUAACACAUGCAAGUCGAACGGAAAGGCCCUGCUUUUGUGGGGUGCUCGAGUGGCGAACGGGUGAGUAACACGUGAGUAACCUGCCCUUGACUUUGGGAUAACUUCAGGAAACUGGGGCUAAUACCGGAUAGGAGCUCCUGCUGCAUGGUGGGGGUUGGAAAGUUUCGGCGGUUGGGGAUGGACUCGCGGCUUAUCAGCUUGUUGGUGGGGUAGUGGCUUACCAAGGCUUUGACGGGUAGCCGGCCUGAGAGGGUGACCGGCCACAUUGGGACUGAGAUACGGCCCAGACUCCUACGGGAGGCAGCAGUGGGGAAUAUUGCACAAUGGGCGGAAGCCUGAUGCAGCAACGCCGCGUGCGGGAUGACGGCCUUCGGGUUGUAAACCGCUUUCGCCUGUGACGAAGCGUGAGUGACGGUAAUGGGUAAAGAAGCACCGGCUAACUACGUG